rnacentral:tRNA from 1 species
GCCUUCGUGGUGUAUUGGUCAGCACACUCGGCGCGUAUUCGAGAGGUCCGUGGUUCGAGUCCCGGCGAGGGCG